GCCAAUCAGCAGCAGACCCUCCCUCCCAGACCCUCCCACCUCCUGGACAGCAUCCAUUUUGAAGCUGCAUUCUUAGUGAGCUGUCCAGGAGGUGGGAGGGUCUGGGAGGGAGGGUCUGGAAUGUGUCU